rnacentral:rRNA from 1 species
UACGGAGGGUGCAAACGUUGUCCGGAAUCACUGGGCGUAAAGCGCAUGUAGGUGGUUUUAUAAGUGAACGAUUAAAGACCGAUGCUUAACGUCGGGAAGGUUGUUCAUACUGUAAAACUAGAGUGUGGCAGGGGUAAGCGGAACUUUAGGUGUAGGAGUGAAAUCCGUAGAUAUCUAAAGGAACACCAAUGGCGAAGGCAGCUUACUGGGCCAUUUCUGACACUCAGAUGCGAAAGCGUGGGGAGCAAACGGG